GCGUGGCUUCCGGAGCUAACGCGUUAAGUAGACCGCCUGGGGAGUACGGCCGCAAGGUUAAAACUCAAAUGAAUUGACGGGGGCCCGCACAAGCGGUGGAGCAUGUGGUUUAAUUCGAUGCAACGCGAAGAACCUUACCUGGUCUUGACAUCCACAGAAGAAUCCAGAGAUGGAUUUGUGCCUUCGGGAACUGUGAGACAGGUGCUGCAUGGCUGUCGUCAGCUCGUGUUGUGAAAUGUUGGGUUAAGUCCCGCAACGAGCGCAACCCUUAUCCUUUGUUGCCAGCGGUUAGGCCGGGAACUCAAAGGAGACUGCCAGUGAUAAACUGGAGGAAGGUGGGGAUGACGUCAAGUCAUCAUGGCCCUUACGACCAGGGCUACACACGUGCUACAAUGGCGCAUACAAAGAGAAGCGACCUCGCGAGAGCAAGCGGACCUCAUAAAGUGCGUCGUAGUCCGGAUUGGAGUCUGCAACUCGACUCCAUGAAGUCGGAAUCGCUAGUAAUCGUGGAUCAGAAUGCCACGGUGAAUACGUUCCCGGGCCUUGUACACACCGCCCGUCACACCAUGGGAGUGGGUUGCAAAAGAAGUAGGUAGCUUAACCUUCGGGAGGGCGCUUACCACUUUGUGAUUCAUGACUGGGGUGAAGUCGUAACAAGGUAACCGUAGGGGAACCUGCGGUUGGA
rnacentral:rRNA from 1 species